rnacentral:lncRNA from 1 species
AUACUACUAAUAAUAUACUGAUGAAAAUCUUGACUUUGCACAGCCACAGCGCCUGUAACGUUUUUGCCGACGACAACCACCAAUACAACUGCUGGCAGGGAAAUCAUAACACACAGCCUCGUUAAAAAAAGUAGCAACCGUUCCCGUUUGUUACACAACUCAGCAUUCUAAGGUUACAUGGAUCACCGCUGGACCAACAAUCUUACGUACACAGAUACAUAAAAAUGGAGCCUUGACCUAAAAUCGAUAACUUAGACUCAACUGAAUAAUAUAAGUUAUGGAAAAUUGGAAAUUACUAUGAAGAAGAUAAUUACAUGACAUACACAUACACACACGACCAGGAUGGAGAGCCAGCAUGCAGUGCAGCUACAAAACUGACCCAGGAGGAGCUUCCGCGGCCAAAGUCACCCCUCGCCUUGGUUUGACUUUUUCCGCCACCACCCGAAGACCAACAUCAGUGAAAUGCGGAGUGUUCUGGUCCGAGCCCCGAGGAACUCGGACGCUGGCCAGAUCCAGCGACCUGCUAUAAGCGCCCGGUUUAACCUGUCCUGACCUAGGCCAAUCUGGCAGCAAGGCUGCCUCACCAUCAGCUUUCUCAUUCAGGGUCCACAGGUUCAGCUCAGGUCAUAGCAUGUGGGUAAGGAGCAAAGCGAAUUGUAAAUUUGCUCGGCCUUGGGGCGCCUAGAUGCGGUUCCUCUGGUGCACUGGUAGAAUAGAUCAAUUAGAAAUCUCAGUUUCUCUGCAUGAGCAUCAGAUGUGAUCCCCAACUUCAGCCUCGUAAUUGGCUCGUCCACUGUCCAGAACGCUUCUAAUUCUUUAGUUAGCCUUGGCCUUUGUUUCUUCCUCUGAUGACAUAGAAUUCACAAGAUGUUACUUCGUAUAUGUUUACCCAAAACAAUAAGCAAAUACAAAAUAUACAAGAGCCAACUUCUGAUGUAGAGGUCUUACCUUUAUGAGAUCAUAUAUUUCUGAAUCUGGUAGUCCCUCGUAGGGUAUACGAAGUGUAAGCAUCUCGAAUAUAAAACAUCCAUAUGACCAGAUAUCCACUUCCUGCAUCAAAAGCCAUAUUUAACCGCAUCAAUACCGCUUUAUUUUGGGGUGUUGGUUGGGGCUAGGACUAUAUCUAAUUAGCAUAAUCUGGUAGGUAGCUAGGGGCCUAUUUGCUGAUAUUAACAUAGUUUAUAAUAUACUGAAAUCCAAGUGGCUUUACACUAACCAAUAACAUGACAAUGCACAUUACUGUACACAGGAUAGUCAGCAAUCAGAGUAACAAUCAUCACACAGGAUACAUGGCAAUGCACAUUACCACACACAAGUAUAAAUGUUUAAGAUUAGCUAAUGCAAGCAAUGAAGAAAAAUUAGUGUUCCAGUAACACAUCAUGAUAAUAACUACCAAAUAUUGGAAUUUUCAAUCAGAAACAUGGCUGAGCUACUCCGUAGUACAUACAGUACUGUUCAGAGCUGUUCAAUAUGAGUUGAGCAAAAAAAAAAGGACAGCGCAAUGUUUAAAUGAAUGCUUACCAGUCCAUACUGGGUUUUCUCAUGCAUGGCCUGAAGAACCUCUGGAGCCAUCCAACAAGGUGUCCCAACACAAACAUUGGGUGGAUAUGUGCCAAGGUGAGCUAUACAGCAUGUAUGGGAUAGAGAAUGCAAAGGAAUGGAUCUAUCAAAAUCAGAGAGUUUGACUACUGGUGUCCCAUGACUCCUCUUCGAAUCCAGAUCAACCAAAACAUUCUCGCUUUUUAUAUCCCGGUGAAUAACUAGCUUCCUGUGCAUCUCCAACAAAGCACAAGCAACUUCUCGAGCAAUGUAAAAUGCCAGGUCCACAGGUACAUGUUUCUUGCCCUCUUUCAGUAGUUUUGUCAAAUAGCCCUAAUUUGAAAUUAAAAGAUCCAGUUAUCACUGAGAACAUAUAAAACAAAAAAGACAUCAACGAAUACAAGAAGGCUCAUAACGAUGAACAAAUGAAUUUACCUUCAGUGAACCUCCUUUCACAUAUUCCAUUAAAAUUACAGACUGCAUUAUCCUGUACUCCUUAUCACUAUCAUCUUGAACCCAUUUAGAAGAAAGUUGGUGACCAUAUAUGUCCACUAUGGAUCUGUGCUUCCUUAGAGCAUUCAUCAUUCUUACUUCCCCAAGAAGCUUGUAUUCAAAUUUUUUUACUUCAUCAUUAGAAGCACGCCGGGUAUCUAGGUACCGUAUCUGCAUUUGAAACCAACGCCAAGUAAAUACAUGAAACAUAGUAAAGGCACCGAAGAAAUUUAGAAGGCAAAAAAAAAAAAAAAACCUUUGCUGCUGCAUCAACUGAACCAAUUUUGCAGUGGUAGACAGCGCUAGAAGCUGUAGCUUCAAUUUCUUUGCAUAGUGAGACCGAAGGGAAGGAAGACCGAGGUGUAUAGCCUUCAUCAUCAAGCGCAACGUGCAGUCGACUGAGGGGAACAUACCUAAAACCACGUGCACAUAAUUAGUAACGAAAUAAUUUUGUAGUCAAGAAGAAUCACUGAAUAAGCAUGUAGCAUGUACUCCCUCCGUUCCAAAUUACUCGUCGAAGAAAUGGAUGUAUCUAGAACUAAAAUACAUCUAGAUACACCCAUACCUGCGACAAGUAAUUCGGAACGGAGGGAGUACUUUUGUUUUCAACACCUCCAUGAAGCAGCAUGAUUAAAAUUUAAAUACUAGAUCAGCAGAUAACGCCCCCUAAUAUCAGGCAAACAAAAUAACAAACAAAAGAGUAUGCAAGAACAACGCAAUAACUGAAAUGAAAGACAUAACAUACCAUAUCAUACCAAUACAGAGUGAUUAGACACGAUGUACUAGCAUAUCCUGACAGCCUGACAGCUACAUAUCGUACAAUAUUUCACAAUAUCCAAUUUUGCAAUCGCACACAUAAGGCAUCGGCAAUUGGCAUUAUAAGUUCUCAUCUUAUUACACAUACUAUUACAAUAUUACUGACCUUUUGCAAUUUAAGUCAUAAUAAAGUUAGAUAACUACCUCCGUCCUGGUUUACUAGUCCCCCUCAUAUUUUGGGUCAUACUUUGACCAUGAUUUCAACUAAUAAAAUAUAAGUUAUAUGUAGCAAAAAUAAUAUCAUUGCAAACUACAUCCAAAUACGAAUCCAAAAUAAUAUUUUUUGGCGACAUGCAUUAACAUUUUGUUGGUCAAAUAUACGAUCAAACUUUAACCGAAAGUACGAGGAGAACUAGUAAACCAGGACGGAGGUAAUCCCUCCGUUCCAAAUUACUCGUCGUGGUUUUAGUUCAAAUUUGAUGAACUAAAACCACGACGAGUAAUUUGGAACGGAGGGAGUAGUACAUAGCACAUGAAUACAGUAUAAACUACAUAUGGCAUUUAUGUAGGCCAUGUUUUUGACCUGAUCACAGAAUUGACAUAACACUGAAACAGCAGUAACAAUAUAAUGACAAUAUGACAGAACCAGCAUAGUGCAAGUUAGUUGCUACCAUAAAUUCAAGGUAAAGUGGAGUCAGUAUUUUUCCCUAUACGAUCACAAGGCACUCACCUGCAGAAGUACUCUGGAUCCGUCUCUUCCUUUAUGUUUGUGGGGUAACACGCAUCAACAAUCAUCCUUACCAAGAUAUUCCCUUGUCUAACAGGGACAACAUUCCAAGCAUGAGGCGUGUAGUCAAGAUGCCCCCUCACAAGCUCACAAGGAAUUGGAGGGUCCGCCCGGUCACACAAAUACUGCAAUAGAUAAGGUAGCCAUGUCAAAGCCUCAACUGAUAAACAUAAAACAUAAGUCAGAUAACAGAACAACAAGGUACCUUCAUUAGGACAGCUCGGUGCCUACAAACACCAAACUGCAAUGCCCCUAUUGGUACAAUGCCUGAAUUAUUCCUUUCCUUGAUGAUGUGUAUUGAUUUAUCACAGAGACCAGUAAAAUUGAAGUGCCCAGGAGGAGUACUGGCUUGUUUUGAUGCUUCAUUGCUAUCACACAUGCUACCGGCAGAACAAGUACAAAUGAAUGGUUGCUCCUUCCUCAAGCUAACAAUAGCUCCCCGUGUUCUCCUCAGAGAAGCACUUCGAUCACAACCUCCAAAACAGUCAGAGACAAACAAAGCAAGAACUGAUGCCCUUAGCAAGUCCUGACCUGCAUCUUCAUCUGUUUCGGAAUAACUUGGCCUCUUCAAACUGGAUAACAACAGUUGUGCUGAAGAAGCAAUUGCGUCCAAUUCUUCAUCUUGUUCUCUUAAGAGAAAGAAGCAAAAAAAAAAGUCAGGCAGAUUGCAAACAUAUCCUAUGCUCUCAAAUAGACCAAUCAGAAAGAGCAUACAGCAUAUAAAAAAGCAAAUUACCAAACAACGGAUAGGAAUGUGCACUAACCUGUCCAAAAGAAUAACUUCGCGUGCAUACAGUCCGAGACUCCGUUCAUACUCCUCUAAUGGCAUGAACGGCAUAUCUCGUCCCGCGUCAUAAAAUCCAUCCGGUAAAUGGUCAUCUAUGCUGCAAAAUGACUCCACGCUGUACUUAUAGGAUAACUUCGAGGAUUCAUCAAUUGGUCUUGGGCAUUUGCUGGGUUUGGGAUUAUUGUCCAUAUCAGGAUGCCUUUUAGAUUUCAGUGUAAGCUUACAUGCCUCUGAAGUGUUCUCUUCAACAACAUCAACUGCAUUGCGGGUCGAUGAAGCAGUAUCCUCAAGUUCAUUUUCAAUACUGCCCAAACAAGCUGGAUCGGUGCUGAUACCAGAAUUGUUGUCAUGACAACUUCUCAUAUUUAUUCCAGUUUUUCCAUCGUCAUAUUGGUCCUGAAGCAUCAUGCCACUAUCUUUUAUAAGCCCAUCUGAGUCAUAAUCGAUUAUGCAAGAUAGGUCUUCAGAUAUAGAACUUGUUUCUUUCAAAUGCUGUGCUGAACUUUCUUCAACAAUGUCUUUCAUCACUGGCCUGUUUUCCAUAUCAUCUUCAGUCAUGUUCACAGCCAUUUCAUCAAUGUCAUUUUCACAAAGCCUGCUCCUGCUGGACUCCAAACGCUCCUGGCGAGCCUGCUGUUGCAGGCAAUCCCGUCGCUUCCAGCCCUUCUUCAUUUUCUGUGCGGUAUGAGCUUUUAAAUUGGGGGAAAUAUCUGUGGGUGAGCAUGAGAGCACGCCAUUGCAAGCAUGACUUGCAGGUCUAGGUUCUGCUGAUCUGUUUAUAUUUGCGAUACCUAGACGUUGUAGCUUGUCACUCUUCAAAGGAAUUUCACCAUUUUCCCUCAUGUCACAGCAUACCCAAGAGGGUAUCAUAAAAGAAUGGGAAAUCCUAUUAAACUUGAAGAUAGAAAAAGAAAACUAUCAGGAUCUGAUAUUUGAAUUUCUAAGCAUAAAUAGAAGACAUAAGAAAACAUCCACAAUACAUCAUCGAUAGACUUGAUGAGUAAGUCAUAUAGUGUCUCAUGAAAAAAGUUAGUAAGAAAAUGAAUGGCUAAUAUUAACACCUCCACAACUUCUCUCUCUGGCAAACACCCCCCCAUGCAAGUGUUGUUCUGCUUGCUAACACCCUCCUUCCCCUAAUUUUCAUUACAUUUAGAAAGAUCGCAUGUUGAUUCGAUUAUAAUCAUUUUCCUCAAAAAUGACACACUAAUCUCACUCCAAGUAUAAUUGUUAAUCAGGUCCUGACAAAUGUUGAAUGUUUUGUUCCAGAAGUGAAUGAAUGCCAUAGAAUAAGCACCAAAAUGACAAAUGACAAAUAUAAACAAGACAACAAAGAUCAGAAUCAACACUGCUGAAGAUAAUGUAAAUUAUGUCAACAUGAUCAAGACAUAGCAAUAAUUAGGAACAGGUGGAAAGCAAAACUUCUGAUGAGAACAUACCUGAAGAUUAAGAUACUGCAGUGUAAGCAUAGAGACAAGUUCAACUGAUCCAAGGGAUGUCAAUCUAUUGUUCGAUAAGUCAAGGCUUUCAAGACAUCUCAAAGAAGAGAUCCCUGAUGGUAAAUCUACCAACUUAUUAUUAGUCACUUUGAGGAAUUUCAGGGCCCGCAACUCGGUUAUCCAGUUAGGCAAGUUCUUCAGCUUGUUGAAAGACAGAUCAAGUUCUUGGAGCUUCCUGAGGGAACCAAUCUCAGGGGGGAGGAACCUAAAGAUAUUUAAAAAGGAAUGUGAAACCACCAUUUUUUCCAGGGAACAAUUGAAAUAAAUAAGUCAAUAUAGCAUAAAAUAGAAAUCAUCAUCAGGAACACCAUACAAGUUCCCCAUAUUUGGUUCAAGUGUCCACAGUCGACAAAGAUUCUAAUAGCCUAGAUCAAGAAUAUCAACUUCUGUGAACUCAAGAGAUGCUGAAGAUUGUCGCUUGCUAAUCGGAUAUUGAAAAUAUGCCUCUUAAGAGGUGCAUACCACAUACCACAUCAGUAUCGGCAUUUUUUUCAUUGUUCCACAUAUCAGCCAGAGCCAGUUAAUCGGCAUCUCGGUCAAUUAAUCGCUACUCGGACACCUCCAGAUAUGAAAAGGCCCUAUUCGCGCCAUUAACUGCUUGGGGCAAUUUCUCGGUCUGGGCCGAUUAAUUGCUAGGGAAUUUUUGGCCCAAAAGUGGCCCGUUCCCUCCCUUCUUUCACAGCUGUGCGGGCAUUAGGUUAGACAACCCCCUCCCUUCUCCCACUCGUGGAAGAGCAGCUAACGCAGCCGUCCCAUCCCUGAGCAGCUCCCGCCGGCUCCCUCCCCUACCCGAGCAGAAGCCGGCGCAGGCCAAUCCCUGGUCCCCUCCCUGAGCAGCCCCUGACGAGCUGUCAGCUCCGUCCCCUCCCUGAGCAGCAACCGGCUUCAUCCCCUCCCCAAGAAAUCGCCGGCUUCGUCCCCUCCCCAAGCAAUCGCCAGCUUCGUCCCCUCCCCAAGCAGUCGCCGGCUUUGUCCCCUCCCCAAGCAGUCGCCGGCGCUGUCCCCUCCCCGGGCAGCCAGCAUUCCCUCCCGAGAUGCUUCAUUGUCUGCUCCUCCUGUGCAUGGUGUCCCCAGGCAGCAAGUAAACUCAGUUCUCUCCUCUGUGUUGUACUCCUGCUGCUGAUAAUGCGCCCUGCUACCCUCCUAUGUAGUAUCUAGACAUCUAGUAUGUGCUGAUGUGGUGCAUUUGGCAUUUGUAGCAAUCUACGGUUGCUUCUACUACAACAUGUUGCUAUGUAGGCUGGGACAUACAGAUACGGCCCUAGUAAACCUACCGAUAAAUUCAGUUAAUAGGGCGAUUCGCCACUUUAUCCCUACUCAGCACCAGAUCGAUAUGCUACCAGUUGAGAAUUUUGCUACAACUAAAUUUAGACCACAAAAUCAUUUAAUCAUCAUUCAAUCAGUUAAUAGGGUGAUUCGCCAAUUUAUCCCUACUCAGCACCCGGCCAAUAUGCUACCAGUUGAGAAUUUUGCUACAGCUAAAUUUAGACCACAAAAUCAUUUAAUCAUCAUCCAAUCAGUUAAUAGGGCGAUUCGCCAACUUAUCCCUACUCAGCACCCAACCGAUAUGCUACCAGUUGAGAGUUUUGCUACAACUAAAUUUCGACUACAAAAUCAUGUAAUCACCAUUCAAGCAUUUGAACUUUUAAACAUCUGCACUAACCAUCAGAUCAGUACAUCUUCAGUGUUGAGACAAAGUAACUUGGCUACAACAACCAUUUAUAAUCAAACUGCAUAACAAAGUUGACAAAUGCCCCUGCACUGCCAAACUAGGGACACGACUCAGAACAGCUAGUUAAAGUAAGGUGGGUAGACUGAAUGCUCCUACAAACACCAAUGACCUCUAUAAACAACUGUAGAGACAUAGCAAAUAUCGCAGACAUAAUGGUAGCAGCUAAUGUGCAGGUUAUAAAACUUAAAAGUAGCCACAACAAACAAUUCAACCUGAUUUAACACAUGGCAAAAGCAUCAUGGUUGCCAGAAGCUAUUGGACAGUUGGCGUGGAAAAAUUGCACCAAACCAGCAUAGAUUUAUACUUAGAAGCUAGCCUGCUAAAGGUUUCUUAUACACAUCAAUUUCUCCCGGGGUCGUGCUGCUGAAAUAAACAUAAAAUGGCACUAGAAAACACAUAAAAAAGCAUUCUUACGCCGCCAAUCACAGACGGAACGCUAGCAUUUGGCUGAUUAGGCACGAGAACAGUCAAUUAACCAUAAGCAAUUUGACGCACUGUAGCAAAAUUAGCAGUGGGCAGGUAGGCAGGCAGGCAGCUGUCAAUUGAGGUAGUGUUGUCGUGCAGCAUACCUGAUGGAGAAGUGGCAGAUGGUGAGCUUGGUGAGGCACUUGAGGCUGGCGAUCUCGACGAGUAUGGAGCAGGCGGAGGGCCUGGGCGGCACCAUGGAGAGCUCGAGCUCCCUGAGCGCCCGCAUCCGCCGGAGCACGGCCCCGGACACCCUGGGCGCGGAGACCUUGAGCUGGAGGCUCUGUAGCCCGUCCAGGUCCCCGGCCUCCGGGGGCAGCACCUCGACGUCGUUGCCGAAGAACUUGAGCGCCCUGAGCCCCCCGCGGCACUCGCCGAUGGAGCGCGGGACCAGGUUGUAGGCGUUGCGGUAGAUGUAGAGCUCGCCGCCGCGGAGCGCGGCGGGCGGAGGCGAGAAGGGGGCGAGGUCCCACGUGUUGCCGGCGACGUCGGCGGCGUCGGAUCCGCGCGGCGGGAGGCCGCCGCCGGCGUCGGGGUCCGGCGCGGCGGCGUCCAUGCGGGCGCCACCGUCCGCCGCGGGGUUUUGGGGCGGCGCGGCCUAGGGUUUCGUACGGGGGGCGGGGAGAGAGUGUGAACGGGGAAGAGGGGAAAGAGAGAGAGAGCGGGCGGGUGGGAAUUGUAUAAGUUAAGCCAUCCUAAUACUGAGAUUUGGACCGGGUUCUGAUUAGCUUCUGUCUCGAGGGGUAAAAUGGAAGGCGGCCACGCGGUCACCCCGCGCUCUCCGAGAAGACGAAGCUGGUGCGGCUCGGACGGGGUCGCCGUCAGGCUCGGGUGCGGUCGCGGUCGCGGUCGCGGUCCGGGUCGGACCCGAGCCUGUGUGUUCAAGGGCUCAAGGCCCACUUUGAAAGAGGCCCACUCUCCUUCCAAGGUUUUGGGUGAUCCACAUCGCUGCUCUAGUCCCCGGCUCUCGCCGCCGGCAGGAGCGACUCCUUCUGCCGCUUUCCUCGGCCCGUGCUUCGGAGAUGCCGGCGACGGAGGAGGAAGGCGCGGCGGCGGCGGCGGCGGCGGGGGCGUACGAGCAGGAGGACGGGGACGGGGAGGAGUACGACGAGGAUGAGGAGGAGGGGUACGAGUUCGGCGACGCGGCGGACGCGGCGCAGUGCGUGGAGAUGGCGGAGCGGGGGCCCGGCGGCGCCGUGGCCACCGUCAGCAUCCGCGACUUCGAGGCCCUGGCGGCGCUGUCGCGCAAGCGGAAGGCCCUCCCCGAGGAGCCGCCGCAGGGGGACGAGCCCUCCAAGAAGCGGAGGCAGCAGGGCGAGCUCUCCGAGGCGGAGUCGGCGAACCUCUUCGACCAGCUGAUGGAGGGGUUCGGCCUCCGGCGGAAGAAGCGGCGGCGGUCCAAGGACGGCAAGAGGAAGGGGCGGGCGAGAGGGCGGAGGAACCGGUGCAGCCCCGAGGUCAUCAAGAAGCUGGGCGACGCCACCCUGCUCUUCACCGAGAACAGGUUCAAGGAGGCCAUCCCCAUCCUGCACGAGAUCGUGCGGAUCGCGCCCAACCUGCCCAACUCGUACAACCUGCUCGGCAGCAUCUACAAGGAGAAUGGCGAGAUCGACAAGGCUAUCAACUUCGUGAUGCUGGCCGCCUACGUCUCGCCCAAGGACGUGUCGCUGUGGAAGAAGCUCAUCGACCUGGCCCUGAAGAAGGAGGAUGCUGCUCUGGCAAGGCACUGUGUUAUCAAGGCAAUGAGGGCUGAUCCGGAGGAUGUGGGGCUCAAGUUUGAUUGCGCCAACAUAUAUCGCACCCUUGGUGACUGCCACAAGGCCGCGGAGAUAUACGAGCAGAUAGUCGGGAUCCAUCCCUCCAACACCGUCGCUCGUAAAGCGGCGGCGCAGAUGUACAGAGACUCUGGUCAAAUUGAUAAGGCGAUUGAUUUGUUGGAGGAUUUUAUCAAUGCUCAAACUUCAAACAUCGAUUGGGGUCUUCUUGAUUUACUGAUAUCCCUUCAUCUGAGAAAUGAUGCCCAUGGUGAAGCCCUUAGGCAGAUCAAGAAGGCACAACUGGUGUUGGGAUCUGGACACAAAUUACCAGUACGAUUGCAGGCGAAGGCAGUAAUCUGCCAUGCUUAUCUUGGAGAUAUGAAACAUGCUGAGGUGUUCCUUCAGGAUGUGCAUCUGGGGCGUUCAAAAGAGAAUGCUGAUAUGGUUAAGGAGGUCGCCAGCACUCUUCAAAGUUUGGGGCAGUAUGAGUAUGCACUAAAAUUUUACUCGGUUAUGGAAGACGUUGCUGUUCACAAUGAUGUUAGUUCAUAUGUGGAAGCUGCUCGAUGCUACAUGGUAAUGGGGGACAAAGGAAAAGCUAUCCCUUACCUCUAUCAAGCUUUAGAAGGGAUGGAGGACAAUGUCGAUGUACGGAUAACCUUAUCUUCUCUUCUCGUUGACGAGGAUAAGAGUGAUAAAGCUAUCACUGUGCUUUCUCCUCCUGAAAAUCCAGAGUUGCAGUCCGCUGAUAUCCCGGAUCAUCAGAAACCUUGGUGGCUUCAUGGGGAAGUAAAGAUGCAGCUUGCCAAACUUUAUUACAACAAAGGCAUGAUGGAGAAAUUUGUGAAAACCAUUUUUCUUCCCAUUCUUGAGACACUGGAUAUCGAGUAUGCUAAUAGAAAGGUCAAGAUGAAUAGAAAGCUUACAAAUGAUGUUCUGCAGGAAAGAACGAAAGUGCUGGGGGAAGCGCGUCAAGACAGCGUAUUUCAAGGAUGCAGGCCUAUAGCAUCAACUGCAGAGUUAGUGAAGGCAAACAGAGCAAAGAAAUUGCUAGAGAGAAGGGCAGCAGAGUCAAAUGAAGAUACGAUAAGAGAUGAUACACGGAGAGCAAAGCAGAAACCUCCUCUUCCUGGUCUGCUGACAAAUGUGGAGAACCAUCAGCUUGUGUUAGAUCUCUGUCGAACACUGACUUUGCUUCAGCGAUACUUUGAGGCGCUGCAAAUUAUCAAUCAUGCUCUUAAACUUGGAAAUGACCCCCUCUCUGAUGACAUCAAGGAGGAACUCCGGUCCUUGGGCGCUGAAAUUGCAUACAGAGCUCCAGAUCCCAGUCCUGGUUUUGAUUAUGUCCGUUAUGUAGUUCACAAGCACCCGCAAUCCAUCUCCGCAUGGAACUCCUACUACAAAGUGACAUCAAGAGCAGAAGAGAAAGGUCAUUUUAAGUUUCUUCUUCGGGCAAGAAGGGAUCCCAAGUGUGUGCCCCCUAAAAUCAUAUCUGGGCAUCGAUUUACUGCUAUCAGUCAACACCAGUCCGCUGUUCGGGAUUAUCUGGAAGCGUACAAGCUGGACUCGGAGAAUCCUCUAAUCAAUCUCUGCGUUGGUUCGUCCUUGAUCAACCUCUCCCUGGGCUUCAGGCUUCAGAACAAGAACCAGUGCAUCGUCCAGGCGUUUGCGUUCCUCUACAAGUGCCUGCGCAUCGGCAGCAACAGGCAGGAGGCCCUGUACAACAUAGCCCGGGCUUACCACCAUGUCGGGCUCAAAACCCUGGCGGCCAUCUACUACGAGAAGGUUUUAGCCAUGGAGGUGGAAGAUCACCCCAUACCCAAGCUUCCAUUCGAGGAGGAUUUCCAUGAGCACCAGGCUCUUAGGCCUGGCUACUGCGACCUCCGGAGAGAGGCUGCGUUCAAUCUGCAUCUGAUCUACAAGGAAAGCGGAGCAACUGAUCUGGCAAGAAGGAUCCUCAAGACCUACUGUUCUAUUUAGGAAUUGGUCGUUUAUUUAUACUAUAUACAAGUACUUGGUCUAGUCUAUGUGGAUGCUGCUACGCAACAUUUCCAUGUAAUCGUGAAGGCAAUCGAUUUUUCAUUGUGGAGUCCAAAAGAGAUUCUAGACUUUGAAAUGGUCCUCCUCUCAGGUUUUGUCACAGUGGUUUCAGAAUGAUAAUAUGUCUGUUCCUUCCAAUUUGAUCAUGAAACAAAGUGGAUGGAAAUCAUUUACACCCUGAUUGGAUCAUCGUUUCAGAGCGAUAAAAUAUACAGACCUCUAUCCGUCGUUCUUUUUCCAGACGGAAAUCACGUUGUGGCCUGUGAAAUACACCUGUAAAGUAAAUACGGAUGUAAAAUGUUACACCCAUACCAAGCGGAGCCUUACUGUACAACAUAAAGUACAUGAAAAACUGCCUAAAUCAAAGUACAUGAAAAACUGCCUAAAACAAAAACACUAGCUGCAAGCUAGUAACACGAUACAAAAGACAAACAAACUAAGCCUUCACUGAACUUUAUUUAUUGAGACAUAUAUAGGGGGGCUGAUAAACCUCUACCACCAGGUGGUGGCAUCAGAGUUUCUUCGAGUAUCGGUAAACUUACAGCAGUAUCAUUACCCAUCAGACAGUACAUUUAUUGAAACAGCAUUGUCUAGAGCGUUGUAAACUGCUCAAAAAUAAAAUGCAGAUGCAGUGCGGUGUCUCAGCGAUUCAGUGUCAAGAUUGGCAGUUUACAACAAGGGUCAUCGAGCUAGAAGUGGUUAGACCAAUCAGCAGCACUACCGACGCGAGGGAUCCCCGAGUCCUUCUUGGCCUCGCUGUCGACCUUGAAGGUGGAGCCGCACAUCUGGCCCUGGCUGUCCACACGUGGCACGGCCUUCAGCUCGUUCAGCGGGUGCUCGAAGCUCUGCAGCCCUCCAGAUGUGGUGUAGAAGCAGCCUGAUGAUCAACGAAAAUGUAGUGUCAAGAUGAUGAGUGCCGCAGCUGAAUUAUAGGGAUACAAACAAAGAUGAGAAGGGUGAACUGUGGCAACGCUGCUCUUUGUAGUGUACCUUUGGGGAAUGGCGCAAAUGAGUUUCCACAGCCUGCCUUGAGAAGCUCAUUAUCGUCAGAGAACACAAGGUGGUCUUCAGAGUCAACUCCCCAGAAGAAGGGGAUACUGCCAUCAGCAUCCUGUUCAAGAAAAGCGGUUGUAACUCAAAACCAUAUUCAACUACGGGUUAAAAAUUUACAUCCUUUCAGAAGAGAGAUGAUCUACUCACAGCAGCGACGAAGGUGGAUUUCGACACGGUAUCGUAGAGGAUGAAAGCGAACCUUCCACUGAGAUCUCUCACGACCUGGCUAGCUGGGAGUGGGCCCCUGUCCCGGAGGGUUCUGUAGGCCUCAAUCAGGAUGGUAACCUCAUUUGCUGUCUUGCUCAGACCAUAGUGUUGCUUCAGGUUGCCAAUGUUCUCAACAUGUCCUUGGAACAGGCAAAAUAUGUCAUUUACAGAACCGAACAUCCUGGAUACAAGUGCAAAGACAAAAAUACAGAGUCAGGUCAAUAUACUCAGAUAGAACAACAAUUCUCAGGAUCACUAAUAAGGUAGAAAAGAAAUUCCAUGUUACUGCUAUUUGUUGGAAUCACUAUACAUGCCUAAAAAGACACCAUCAUGUGAAUUUUUUUCUACAAAGGCAACAAAACGAUGUUACUGGAGUCACAUCAAUGUUUCAUUAUGUUAUUCAAAACUUGGCAGCCCAAUACUGCUAGUAGGUUUGACAAGUAUGUUGUCAGCAAGCAUGAUAGUUAAGUAAAAGUUGCUUCCCUGUCGAAAGAAAAAUUGAUCUUCACUUAUGAGUUAGUUUAAUGAGGCUCAGCUCGUUAGUUUAAUGAGGCUCAGCUCCCAAGUGGUAUGCGCGUUCGUUGCACAUGACAUGUUGCUAGUACCGUAUAAAAAAGAGCAAUAGUCACCACCAUCACCGGUGGGCCGGCUGACAAAUAACAGUUGAUUAACAAGUAUCAAUUGACACGUAAUCCAACUGUGGACAAUGGUAAGAUGGACAUGUGCAGUAUCAGAAACUUCAAUGUUACUUCCCAUUUUCAUGACGAAUCGCCAGACAGGGAUGCAAAACAUAGUGUAGGAAAAAUAAUGGCAUAUUAUAUCUACAUAAAGGGUUCAGGCAAGACUCCAGUUCCUCACAUCACAAGAAUUGUUGAAUCUCUUCACGCUGGAGCAAAAUCAUCGGUGUUGAAUAACACGGUUGGACCCAGAAGAACAGCAGGAAUCAAGCCAGCUCCAAUGGGAAGCUGGAUCUUUGACUGUUUAAGCGCAUAACAUUCAGAAGUACUUGCAACCUUGGGCUAGAGCUAAGCGUUCGCUAGAUUGUUUCUCUGGGUGCCACUAAGCACAGCUCAGAAUAGGUUCUCCAAUCUACAAGCCUACUCAAAUGAUCAAAUAAAUAACUGCUCAGCAGCCGGAGGAAACUAACUCAGUUAAGCCGUUCCUAAUUUGGACAGGAUCUGAACAUAUAUACGAAACAAUGAUUAAAUCAGAAGUCAAUAACGCGUCAUAAUGGUGCUGUCACAUAACUUAUGUUGCAGAUCUGAUGAAGAGUCUGGCCUAGAAUUUACGCCACGGAGCCCCCGACUACAGACUAGAAAUCGCCGGAAAGCUCCAAAACCAGCACGCCGCUGAAAGCUACAUCUCUGGCUGGCCUGGCCCGGAGAAACCAAACGAGAAAGGGAGAUCUCCGCAGGCCCAAACGGGAACCUCCAAAGUCCCAGCGAAGCGAUCGCGUCACCGGAUCAAGCGCCACCCGACAGCACUACAAGCACCGGCUUACUGGUAGUGUUAUUGAGCAAGGCUAGCGGAUAACGGAGCAGUACCUGGGGACGAGGGGGUUCUUGUUGGCGGAGGAGUAGGCGAGGGCGCCGGCGGAGCCGAGGCUGACGGUGACCGCGGCGUCGUUGGCGGCGGCGAAGCCCUUCAUCAGCGCGGCCGCGCCUCCGCCCCCCGCCGCCGCACCGGCCGCCGGCGGGCUGCGGAGGCCCUCCGGGCACUUGGCCACCGUCUGGUCGAACACGGCCAGCAUCUCGGCGACGUGCGAAUCUCUCCCCCCUCUCUUUCCGUGCGCUGAGGCUGUGCUGUCCCCGUCUCCUUUGUCUGCGUGCCGCGGUGCGAUCUCACGGCGACGCUGAAUGGCCACCGCAAGUCAACUGAUAUAGGGCGCUCGGUUUCCCGUUUUGCCCCUUGGUCGGUCGGUUGGUGGGAAAUUCGCGGAGCUUUUUUGGUGGCCGCCAAUGGUUUUCAUGUCUCGGCAUUCGUUUUCCUACGUGGAGUGUAAAUAAUAAAGCAUAUAAAAUCCAGGAAAAAUCGCAAAGAAUGCAAAAAGGUUGGCCGUUUAUUAUCUUAGAUAUCUGGUUGUAUCCGAGGGUAGUUUGGUAACUUGGGUAAAUAAUAACCGUCCUGGUCCCUGUGGGGUAUUAUCCAUUUUUUUCUGGUUGAUUGAUUGAAACCUUAUCCAGUCAUUAUCGACGUGGAAAGCCUGGAGGGUCUGCCGGGUAUCCCGCGGAUCGGAUUAGAUUAAGCGCGUCCAGCUAUGAGCUAAUCUAUACAUCUCUGGUGCCGUGAGUAGAGGAAGAGGAGAGCCAUCGUUUUCAAAGGUAGCACGGGUCGACGUCCACGUUUCCAGACGCGUCGUCGUGGAAAACAUCAUCUCCGAUCGUGCUUUCUCCCCCAGAUUUUUGGUGCGCAAGCGAAUCAACCUAUGGUUGAGUUGAUUAGGUGGACAGUGAUAUCCCCAACCCAUCAGGGUUUAAAUCCUGGUGCUCGCAUUAUUUUUGGAUUUAUUUCAGGAUUUUUGGCGAUACGCUUUCAGUGGGAGGAGACGUUCUCGUCGACGACGAGGCGCCUACGAUGACUUCGUAAAUCUCAAGAUGAUAUGCCGGCUCAGUCUUUCGGAGGUGCUCAUAGGGGUAGGGUGUGCGUGUGUGCGUUCAUAGGGAUGAGUGUAUGCGCGUGUAUAUGAGCGUUUGUGUCUGUACCGAUGCUCAAAAAAAAAAUCUUCGGUGCGCAAGACCCAGUUUUUUUUCUUUUUACGUCUCCAACACGGAUCAUCAAAAUGUCCGUAAAUAUUUGGAUCAAGUCGGCCAACGUUGUUAAUCAUUCGAUGCGGGAUUGGGCAGAACUAGUCCGCAAGUUCGACAUUCUAUGGACUGUCCCAAAUCGGAAGAGGAGCUCUGUGGGAGUCUGGGCGUCAGCCACGUUGGACUCCAACACCUCGGACCUACCUAAAAUCUGACUCGGAGGCUGGAGACCAUCUAUUUUCACAGUCCUGCCAUUCUUUUCACGUCAAAGCUUGUCUGUUGCGCCUCGAUCUCCUCUGUCCCCGUCUGUUUCACCGUCCACCACUGCUGCGAUGGAUCCGUCAGUGCCCUUCGCGAUCUUUGUCGUCCUACCAAACCCACAGAAUGGCAAGCUUGAGUGAGAGGGCCGCCGAGCUCCUCCUCCACAGUGGAUCGCCGUACCGGUGCCACCCAGCCAAUCACAACCCUGGCCCGCCCAGUACAAGUCACCGUACUACUAUGCCGGCCAUCUAAAUGGUCAACCCAACACAUAGCAACCGACGCAGCGCUCCGCCGCCUCCUUCCUCCGCCUCCAGUCAUCCUCCACAACACACCGUCGAACUCAACAAUGACUACAUGGUCACUGAGUCACCAACGCUCAUCCGACCACGGUUUUCGUCCGAGAAGCCCUCGUCCAACAAUGCCCGGUAAAAUAACACAACAUGAACAUAGUUAUUGUCAUCAUAUUUUGUAGAUAUGUUUGGAAAAAAACUCCUUCACUUUUUGGUUGCAUUUGCUUUGUGCGCCAAGGGCACAACUGGUCAGCUGGUAAUAUAAUGAUUGGUUGAACUUUUAUAUGUUGGUUUCUAUGCAAUCUUUUGUAGCUUAUGUACGAGUGCACACGAUGCAUAGGGCAACACUUAAGGUGCUACAAUGUGUUACAAGGAAUGUAGGAUGGGAGACCGGAGUGAGAAAUGACUGUUCCCUAAGUUCAUGAAUUGUAACAUAGGGGAGUAAAAGGGACCCCGGAGGAAGUUGUGGCAAUAGUUGGGUUUUUAUCUUAAAGGAUCUUAGUAUUUGCUUACUAGAAAAACAAUUAUAAGUACAUGUGAGGCUCGGCAUAGCAGCAUGUUAGCUUAGGUUCCUCCCUAGAAAAUGGAACACUUACACUUAUCAAGGCAAGCACAAGGCCCAUCUUAGGGCAUCUCCAACAAGGAUCCCUAAAAACGAACACUGUAAUCCGUCUACGGACGCGUCCGGACGCACCCACAGACAGUAUACAGGAGCCAACCAUCCAACCGUGACCGCAUAAAUUUCAAACGUGAUUUGAACAAACCCGACGAUUUUCAUGGCAAACCUCAUGAUUGUCAUUUAAAAUGGACCAAAUUCAUUACAUUUUUUUACAUAUUUUAACUCAACAAAAGCGUAUGAGACUUUGUUAACCUAAUAUAAGUGAUCGUCGAGCGUGGCGGCGUCUUUUCUUCCCCAUGUCUAGCAAGCUUACUGGUCGUGAGCCCCGAGAAGUGAAUUUGCAGGAGGGGGAGAAUAAGUGGCUCAUGUGGCACCCAAGCCACGGUAGCAUCCCAUGUCCUAGUUUUCCUUGUUGGAGUCUGUUGUGUCGACAACAUCAUACGUGGACGGGCCAGCCUCGUGGUCGUGGUGGCAGGGUGCGAACCGUGGUGGAGGUGUGGCUGACACGGAGCUGGCGCCAUCCGCGGUCGCCUGCACCUCCUCGCUGGUCUCUAUGAACAUGACGUAUCUCUCCACCCGCAGGAUGCGCAGCCACCAUCGCUCGCGGCGGAUCUCAUGGGUGUUGCGCAUGGACUGGUACAAUGCCCGCUGCUCAUCCAAGAAGCCCAGGUCCUCUGCGACCAUGGCCACGACGACAUCAUCAUUCGCCUGUUCGCCGGUGAUUUUCCCUCCGCGAGCCAAUGCUCGUCGAGGAGCUGGAGGUUGUAGCCUUGGUCCUCAUGUGCCUACCGGAAUGCCAACACAGAGCGACGCUGGCUGGUCUGCCACCAUGAUUGACGGGGGCAUCGUAUUAUUGUUGGAUGCCCCCUCCAUCAUCUAGUACUCGUCGUUAACCUCCAACGAGUUUGCUGGGAGGCUGGCCUCAUAUUGCGCAUGACAGGCCUACCAGCUGGCCGCAAUGCCAUCUAGCUUCUGCUUCUGCUCCGCCGAGAGGCUCUCCCACAUCCCUCUUGCUGGUUGUGUCGAAUGAGGAGGCGACAUUCAAAUAGCGUGUGCCGACCAGGCCAAGCGGCAGGCAGUGUCAAUGUGGCACCGAAGUGGGUUUCUUGUCCGCCACGCCUGUUUAAUGCUGGCAGGCGAACGACGAGAGACGGUUUGAAUGUGGUGCGGAGCCGUCCAGUCACGUUUGUUCAUGCAUAUCCCAAGAACAAGUGUGGAGACUGGGCAACACUCUCGGUCAGUGCCUCGCUUCAAUGUUGCCCCCAGUGAGAGGUCGCGUCUGCUUUGAGCCAUCAUGAAUGUGGCGUUGACGCUCUAGAGCGUCGCACAUUGACCGACAUGAAUGUGUGGCAACCGCUUCACGCAUGGGAGUGGGUGGGGGCGGGGAGUUUUUUGGGUGGGUCCGGGGUGGUAGGCGAGUAUGUGACAGCGGUCUGGACGCCCGCAAAGCCCCCCUGGUUUGUGUCCGAUUUACAGGAAAACGGAGGUCCACACCAGUUCGCGGGCCGAUGCGGUGCCGCGUUGGAUGGCAAACUAUGUACAGACAGCUAUGUCCAAACGUACGCAUGCAUUUUCAGGGUUCGCAUCGAAGAUGCCCUUGCAAUGCAAUGCCUUGUAAGCCCACAUAGUGAGAUAACCCUAAGUGACAUUGCGGGCUAAUUGACGGUGACAUGUACCUAGGGUAGGGUCUUGCGCCUGACCUAUAUGCCCUACCCAAGGACAAUACACGAGAAGCCAAGGCUUACGGAGAUAGAAAGAAGAUACCGACUGUAUUCACCUCAGAGUGCAAUCCACUCGACAAAAGAUCCACUCGACCAUCCAAAUUCCACUUGACCGUCGUCAUUCACUCAGAAUACAAGAAUCCACUCGAAGGACGGAAGACCUAGGGUCACCUCUAGAUAGCAAUGGUCGGUCAUUCACUCUGUCACCUUAAAGAUCAUUAAAUGAAGGUGUUACCAACAGCGUUCGUGAUAUUAUACUCUCAUUGAACCCUUGUGUUACCGAGGGCCGCGAGGAGUCGGCGUACUCUAUAUAAGCCACCCCUCCCCUCUUGCACAAGGGUUUGCACCCCCUGUAACUCAACACUCCAAUCAACAAAGCCUCCGCGACACCGAGACGUAGGGCUGUUACCCCCUCCGAGAGGGGCCUGAACUCAUAAAUCAGAGUGUACAACCUCGCCAUAGCUAGGCACUGCCCUCUCCUACGUACCCCCCAUCUCUACUGUCAGAUUCGUUCCCACGACAGUUGGCGCCCACCAUGGGGCAGGCGUCUAAGCAACUUCCGGCGAGGUUGCGAUCUUCGAUCUCCAUCGACAUGGUUUCCGGCGGUGGAUUGCCCUUAGGCCACAAGAUCUGUCUCGACGCGUUCACCUUCAUCACCGAUGAUUCGGACUGGCUCCGGGAAGCCCUCCUCGAUGUCGAGGCGCUCCCUAUUCGCAGGGCGGUGCACUUCCGCGUGAGUGCUUGCGGCGUCCUCUUGCGGGAGCCGUCGACUCAGUAUCGGUCAGCUCCCGUGGCAUUUUCCCGUCCCGCUGCUCGUCGUCGCAAGCGAUCCGGUCGCUCGCGCCUCCAGCGGUGGGUAAAGCACGCGGUGGCACGUCAAACGUCCACUCCUUAGAUCGCGGUGAUUGAGCCUGACGAGUCCCUUUAUGGCCUAUUCAAUCUGUCAACUGGUCGUUCGGAUACGCUUUCCGAGUGUGAAAGCAAUGACCUCGCGGCAGAAGUCCUCAUGGUUGGCUCCCAUCAUAGCCCACCAGGAUUUUCCCGCGGUGGUGGAAGCGAUAACCCGUCGCAUGGCGAAGAUGAGUACUACCCGCGAGCUCUUACUGUGGAACAAAGAGAAGAACUACGGCGUAGAGAUGAACAGGAUCUCCAGACGAGCUUGGAUACCACAUGUACGAUCGAAAGUAUGUCUAGAGGGGGUGAUUAGAGUACUUGACCAAAUAAAAACUUAUCCUUUUCCCAAUUUUAGUUGUGGGCAAGUUUUAGAAAUUCUACCAAGUCAAAUACACCUACACAUGCAAGUGUAAGAGUUGUGCAGGAAAAGUAAAGACUUUGCAUAAACGUAAAGGAGGGAUUCGAUAUUUCAAACACAAUGAAGGCACGAUGAUUUUGGUGUGAUUCCGAUAGGUGGUGCUAUCAUAUGUCCAUGUUGAUGGAGACUUGAACCCACGUAGAGUAAUGGUUGCGCGAGUCCAUGAAGGGCUCCACCCAUGAAGGGUCCAUGAAGAAGCAACCUUGUCUAUUCCUCCAUGGUCUCCGUCCACGAAGGACUAGCCUCACUCGAGUAGAUCUUCAUGAAGUAGGCGAUCUCCUUGCCCUUACAAACUCCUUGGUUCAACUCCACAUGAUCUUGGAGGCUCUCAAGUGAUACCUAACCAAUGUAGGAGACACCACUCUCUAAAAGGUAAUAGAUGUUGUGUUGGUGAUGAACUCCUUGCUCUUGUGCUUCAAAUGAUAGUCUCCUCAACACUCAAUCUCUCUCACACAGAUUUGGCUUGGGUAGGAGAAAGAUUGGAGUGGAAAGCACUUGAAGAGGCUAGAAAUCAAGGUUCAAAUGGUAGGAAUAGAAUCUCUUGAUCUCAACACAUGAGUAGGUGGUUCUCUCUCACAAAAUGAAUGGUGGAAGUGUGUUUCGUUCUGAUGGCUCUCUUGGAGAGCAGGUGGGGUGGAGGUGUAUAAAUAGCCUUUACUGAAAAUCCAACUGUUACACUUUUGUGACCCAAAUCGGUGAGACCGAAUAUUAAACUUGGUGAGACCGAUUAGUGUAAAAGAUAAGAAUGUGCGGUUUUUGGUGGGGCCGAAGUGGAACAACUUGGUGGGACCAAAGUGCAAUGGCUAGCGCAGAACCCAGUUUUGGAAUUUCCGAUUAUUUCAACUCGGUGAUUCCAAAGUGAAACAAUGUCAUCACAGAAACUUGGCACUGCCAUCUUUGGUGGGAUCGAGAUCCUUUUCGGUCAAACUGAAUUGCUAGGGCUUGGCAGUAGCAAUGGUAGUGGUCAUCUCGGUGGGUCCGGAUGGGAUAUUUUCGGUGCGAUUGAGAUAGGAAAUUAGGGUUUGGACAUAUGUGUUUUGAGAAAAUGACUGAUGGUUUUUGAGUAAUAUCACUAAGCACUUGAGGGUGAUAAAUUUUGUUAUGUUUUGAGGCUCAUGUUUCCCUGUACUAACAAUGCAGCUGAGUAUGAAGCUUUGCUACAUGGACUCCAUAUGUCUAAGGAGAUGAACCU